rnacentral:rRNA from 1 species
CCUACGGGGGGCAGCAGUGGGGAAUAUUGCGCAAUGGGCGAAAGCCUGACGCAGCGACGCCGCGUGAGGGAUGAAGGUCUUCGGAUCGUAAACCUCUGUCAGCAGGGAAGAACGGUCACUGUGCUAAUCAGCAGUGAAUUGACGGUACCUGCAAAGGAAGCACCGGCUAACUCCGUGCCAGCAGCCGCGGUAAUACGGAGGGUGCGAGCGUUAAUCGGAAUUACUGGGCGUAAAGCGCUCGUAGGCGGUAUGUCAAGUCAAGGGUGAAAGCCCCGCGCUCAACGGGGGACCUGCCUUUGAAACUGGCAAACUGGAGUGUGUGAGAGGAUAGUGGAAUUCCAGGUGUAGGGGUGAAAUCCGUAGAUAUCUGGAGGAACAUCAGUGGCGAAGGCGACUAUCUGGCACAUAACUGACGCUGAGGAGCGAAAGCGUGGGUAGCAAACAGGAUUAGAUACCCGGGUAGUC